rnacentral:rRNA from 1 species
AACGCGAAGAACCUUACCAAAUCUUGACAUCCCGAUGACAGGCUGUGUAAAGCAGCUUCUCUUCGGAGCAUCGGUGACAGGUGGUGCAUGGUUGUCGUCAGCUCGUGUCGUGAGAUGUUGGGUUAAGUCCCGCAACGAGCGCAACCCUUGUCUUUAGUAGCCAGCACUUAGGAUGGGCACUCUAGAGAGACUGCCAGGGAUAACCUGGAGGAAGGUGGGGAUGACGUCAAAUCAUCAUGCCCCUUAUGAUUUGGGCUACACACGUGCUACAAUGGCGUAAACAAAGAGAAGCAAAGGAGUGAUCCGGAGCAAAUCUCAAAAAUAACGUCUCAGUUCGGAUUGUAGUCUGCAACUCGACUACAUGAAGCUGGAAUCGCUAGUAAUCGCGAAUCAGAAUGUCGCGGUGAAUACGUUCCCGGGUCUUGUACACACGC